AUUGAACGCUGGCGGCAGGCCUAACACAUGCAAGUCGAGCGGAUGACGGGAGCUUGCUCCUUGAUUCAGCGGCGGACGGGUGAGUAAUGCCUAGGAAUCUGCCCGGUAGUGGGGGACAACGUUUCGAAAGGAACGCUAAUACCGCAUACGUCCUACGGGAGAAAGCAGGGGACCUUCGGGCCUUGCGCUAUCAGAUGAGCCUAGGUCGGAUUAGCUAGUUGGUGGGGUAAUGGCUCACCAAGGCGACGAUCCGUAACUGGUCUGAGAGGAUGAUCAGUCACACUGGAACUGAGACACGGUCCAGACUCCUACGGGAGGCAGCAGUGGGGAAUAUUGGACAAUGGGCGAAAGCCUGAUCCAGCCAUGCCGCGUGUGUGAAGAAGGCCUUCGGAUUGUAAAGCACUUUAAGUUGGGAGGAAGGGCAGUAAGCUAAUACCUUGCUGUUUUGACGUUACCGACAGAAUAAGCACCGGCUAACUCUGUGCCAGCCGCCGCGGUAA
rnacentral:rRNA from 1 species